rnacentral:rRNA from 1 species
GAUGAACGCUGGCGGCGUGCUUAACACAUGCAAGUCGAACGGUAAGGCCCCUUCGGGGGUACACGAGUGGCGAACGGGUGAGUAACACGUGGGCAAUCUGCCCCUCACACCGGGAUAACUCGGGGAAACCCGAGCUAAUACCGGAUACUUCGUCGAGGUCGCAUGGCCAUGACGAGAAAGCUCCGACGGUGAGGGAUGAGCCCGCGGCCCAUUAGCUUGUUGGUGAGGUAACGGCUCACCAAGGCGACGAUGGGUAGCCGAGCUGAGAGGCCGAUCGGCCACACUGGGACUGAGACACGGCCCCGAUUCCUACGGGAGGCAGCAGUGGGGAAUCUUGCGCAAUGGGCGAAAGCCUGACGCAGCAACGCCGCGUGCGGGAUGAAGGCUCUCGGGUCGUAAACCGCUUUCAGCAGGGAUGAAACUGACAGUACCUGCAGAAGAAGCCCCGGCUAAAUACGUGCCAGCCGCCGCCGUAAGAC